UGCAUCGGCCGGGAAUCGAACCUGGGCCGCCCGCGUGGCAGGCGAGCAUUCUACCAUUGAACCACCGAUGC
rnacentral:tRNA from 1 species